UACGAAGGGGGCUAGCGUUGCUCGGAAUCACUGGGCGUAAAGGGUGCGUAGGCGGGUCUUUAAGUCAGGGGUGAAAUCCUGGAGCUCAACUCCAGAACUGCCUUUGAUACUGAAGAUCUUGAGUUCGGGAGAGGUGAGUGGAACUGCGAGUGUAGAGGUGAAAUCGUAGAUAUUCGCAAGAACACCAGUGGCGAAGGCGGCUCACUGGCCCGAUACUGACGCUGAGGAGCGAAAGCGUGGGGAGCGAAUGGG
rnacentral:rRNA from 1 species